CUACGGAGGGGGUUAGCGUUGUUCGGAUUUACUGGGCGUAAAGCGCACGUAGGCGGAUUGAUUAGUUAGGGGUGAAAUCCCGAGGCUCAACCUCGGAACUGCCUUUAAUACUGUCAAUCUCGAGACCGGAAGAGGUGAGUGGAACUCCUAGUGUAGAGGUGGAAUUCGUAGAUAUUAGGAAGAACACCAGUGGCGAAGGCGGCUAACUGGUCCGGUACUGACGCUGAGGUGCGAAAGCGUGGGGAGCGAACAGGAUUAGAUACCCUAGUAGUCC
rnacentral:rRNA from 1 species